CGUUGCGCUUAAAGGCGUAUGGUGGAUGCCUUGGCAGAAGAUGCCGAAGAAGGACGUAGUAGGCUGCGAAAAGCCUCGGGGAGCUGUCAAACAAGCUUUGAUCCGGGGAUGUCCGAAUGGGGAAACCCCUAGGGCCGUGCAGAGCACGGAUUUAUCAUUGAUCAUUUAUCAUUUCACAUUAAUUUAUCAUUUGAUUAUUGAUCAUUUGGAAAUUAAAUGAAAAAUGUAAAAUUGUAAAAUGGAAAAUCGUGCUCUGCACGGCAGGCAAGCCGGUGAACUGAAACAUCUUAGUAACCGGAGGAAAAGAAAUCGAAUGAGAUUCCCUUAGUAGUGGCGAGCGAACAGGGAAAAGUCUAAACCUGCCAUGCUUCGCAUGGAAUAACCAAGUAACAAGAAACAAUAACCAAAUAAAUCACAAAUCUCAAACUUCAAAAAUCCAAAUAUUUGGAAAUUGAAUAUUAGAAUUUGAAUAUUAUUUGGAAUUUGUAUCUUGCAUCUUGGAGCUUCCCUGCGGGGCAGGGUGGGGGUUGCGGGACUCACAUAAUUGAGACGAAAAGAUAGGAGAACGAGCCUGGAAAGGACGACCAUAGAGCGUGAUAGUCGCUUAUCUUAAAUCUGAAGUAGUCGAGAGGUGAUGUUCCCAAGUAGCACGAGACACGUGAAACCUCGUGUGAAUCUGGGCCGUUCACGGUCCAAGACUAAAUACAUCUUCUGACCGAUAGUGAACAAGUACUGUGAAGGAAAGGUUAAAAGAACCCUUAUAAAGGGAGUGAAAUAGAUCCUGAAACCAUAUGCUUACAAAGAGUCAGAGCCGUGCGUAGCACGGAUUUAUCAUUGAUCAUUUAUCAUUUCACAUUAAUUUAUCAUUGAUCAUUGAUCAUUUGGUUAUUAAAUGAAAAAUGGGUAAUGAAAAAUGAAAAAUCCGAUGCUGCGCAUCGGUGAUGGCGUGCCUUUUGUAGAAUGACCCAACGAGUUAGCUAUGUGUAGCAAGCUUAAGUGAAAGAUCACGGAGGCGUAGUGAAAGCGAGGCCUAAACGGCCGUUAGUUGCACAUACUAGACCCGAAACCGGGUGAUCUACCCAUGGACAGGGUGAGAGUAGGGUAAAACCUACUGGAGGCCCGAACCACUCUAGGUGUCAAACUGGAUGGAUGAGCUGUGGGUAGCGGAGAAAUUCCAAUCGAACCCGGAAAUAGCUGGUUCUCCUCGAAAUAUAUUUAGGUAUAGCCUGGCAUCAGUCGCAGAGAGAGGUAGAGCACUGACUGAUCUACGGGGACUUCGGUUCUCGUAUUCAAACAAACUCCGAAUUCUUUCUGAAUCAUGCCAGAGUCAGACUGUGGGGGCUAAGCUCCAUGGUCGAAAGGGAAACAGCCCAGACCGUAGUCUAAGGUCCCUAACUACAAUCUAAGUGGAAAAAGUAGUGAAAUCUCCAAAACAACCAGGAUGUUGGCUUAGAAGCAGCCAUGCAUUUAAAGAGUGCGUAACAGCUCACUGGUCUAACCGUGCUUCGCACGAAGUUUUCAAUGAUCAAUUAUCAAUGAUCAUUUAAUUAUCAUUUCCAAAAUUAUCAAUUUAAUAAUUGAGAAAUUGAAAAUUGAAAAUUAAUUGUAAAUUGAAAAAUGAAAAUUGAUAAUUCCGCGCGGAGCGCGGCCCGAGAGGUUUUGCGCUGAAAAUUCAACGGGGCUCAAGAUUGUGACCGAAGACACGGGCCAGCCCUUUCGCAAGAAAGAGCUGGCGGUAGAGGAGCGUUCUUGGUGCAGUGAAGGUCACGCUGUAAGGCGGGCUGGAGUGCCAAGAAGUGAGAAUGUUGGGAUAAGUAACGAAUUAGCCAUGCGAGAAACAUGGCCACCAAAUACCCAAGGUUUCCUGGGCAACGGUAAUCGUCCCAGGGUUAGCCGGGCCUAAGUCGAGGCCGUUGUAAUGGCGGCGUAGACGAUGGACAGAAGGUCAAUAUUCCUUCGCUUUUGCAUAUAUAACCGAUGACGCCGUGGCGUAGUCGCGAUAAAAUUAUGGUUUAUCUAUCGCGGUGUAGCCAGGGACAGGAAAAGUUCGGCUCAAAAGUAUGCAAGAUCCGUACCGCAAACCGACUCAGGUGGGUGAGGCGAGAAGCCUCAGGUGAUCGGAAGAACUCUCGUUAAGGAACUCUGCAAAAAAGCGUCCGUAACUUAGGGAUAAGGGCUGCCAGCCUUUUUGGCUGGCUGCAACAAAAGAGUCCAGGCGACUGUUUAACAAAAACACAGGUCUCUGCUAAACCGUAAGGUGAUGUAUAGAGGCUGAUGCCUGCCCAAUGCUCGAAGGUCAAACCGGUCCCUGAUCGCACUUGUUGCGCUAGGGGGACGACUAAGCCCGAGUGAAUGGCGGCCGUAACUAUAACGGUCCUAUGGUAGGAUAAAUGCUGCCAUAGUGAGGUGCGAGCCCUCUGUUCGAACUCCAAAUGCCUUGGAGAUGUAGAAUAAAAACUACGCUAUAUGCUGGAAAAACUGAGAAUCUUGAGCUACUAUUAAUUCAAUUAUGAAUAAUAGUGAUAAUGCUACAAGUGCAGAAAAUCAGCAGGAAAGACUUAUAAGAUUGGGAUGGGUGGUUGGGUUUGUUGAUGGAGAAGGCUGUUUUUCAGUUGGAUUUAUCAAGCAACCCGAUCGCAGUAAUCGUAAAGGGUAUAAAUUAGGUAUUCAAGUGUGGUGCGAAUUUGCUGUAACGCAAGGCGAGAAGAGCUUGGAUUCCCUUGAAAAAUUGCAAGAUUUCUUCAAGGUUGGAAAAAUCUAUAUCAAUAGACGUUACGAUAAUCACAAAGAACAUUUGUACCGGCUUGUUGUCAGAAAGCGCGAAGAUUUGAGAAAAAUAAUUAUUCCCUUCUUUCAACAAUAUCCUCUGCAAACUGCGAAGAGAAAUGAUUUCAAGAUAUUUGUAAAAUGUUUUUCUAUGAUAGAAAACAAGGAACAUUUAACUGUUGAAGGUUUAAAAACUAUUAACAGGUUGGUUUCUCAAAUGAAUCGAAAGAAAAAUCGAACCUUUGAUCUUAUGAGAAUCCUCAACGACCACACGCGUGGCGCCGAUUUAUAAUCGGUAAAGAUAUGGUCUGGACUGCAUGGCGACAUGCAGAGUGCAACAGAAAUGAUUGCACCAUUGUAAUAAUGUAACAAUUUUCAAGCGAAAUUCCUUGUCGGGUAAGUUCCGACCCGCACGAAUGGCAUAACGAUCUGGACACUGUCUCAACGAGAGGUCCGGUGAAAUUACACAGCCGGUAAAGAUGCCGGUUACUCGCAGCAAGACGGAAAGACCCCGUGGAGCUUUACUAUAGUUUGGUAUUGAAUUGGAAAACUUGAUAUGUAGGCUAGGUGGGAGACUUUGAAGCGCUGGCGCUAGCCGGUGUGGAGUCGCAAUGUGAAAUACCACCUUUUAAUUUUUCUGAUUCUAACCUGGAUCUGUGAUACGGUCCGGGGACAGUGCUAGAUGGGUAGUUUAACUGGGGCGGUUGCCUCCUAAAUUGUAACGGAGGCGUUCAAAGGUGUGCUUAGCCCGGAUGGAAAUCGGGCCUCGACGUAUAAAAGCAUAAGCACGCUUAACUGUGAGACCUACAAGUCGAACAGACGCGAAAGCGGGAUUUAAUGAUCCGAUAUUAUCUCGUGAUAGAUAUAUCGCUCAACGGAUAAAAGUUACCCCGGGGAUAACAGGCUGAUCGCAUCCAAUAGUCCACAUAGACGAUGCGGUUUGGCACCUUAACACAUUGGGGUGCUAGAGGAGUAAUCCUCUACCAAAAAUCUUCAAUAUUUUAUAUUGAAGAUCAAAAAUUCGGCUUAUAACGGUGAACCCCUAUUGUUUGCUUGGUUUAUGUUCAGUAGAAUAUAAGAAACAAACAAGGGCGAUACCGUGGGAAGUCUAACGUCAAUUCAGAAAGAGAUUUUAGUUGGGAGUUUACUUGGUGAUGGCGCAUUGCGAAAGCAGGGCACCAGAACUAACGCGCUUCUUGAGGUUAACCACUCGUUCCAAUAUCGAGAAUAUGUUGAUUGGAAGUGGAAAAAUUUCGAAGAGUUUGUCAAAACUCCGCCAAAAUCUCGCCAUGGCAAUGGCAAUCGUAUUGCUUAUCGUUUUACGACUCAAAGCCUUCCGCUUUUUACAGAAUAUUAUUUAAAAUAUUAUUCGAGCGGCAAAAAGGCAGUUUCGACCGAUCUCAUCCUAACCAAUUUGAUGCUUUCUGUUUGGUUUAUGGAUGACGGUUCGAAGAGUCGCAAUACAUUUUAUUUAAAUACUCAGCAGUUUGAUCUGGUAAGCCAGAAGAUAUUGAUGAAUAUUUUAGAUCGAGAUUUAGGUAUUAAGUCCAGUCUCAAUCGCGAUAAACAAUACUUUAGAAUUCGAAUACGAACGGAAAGCGCAGGACUAUUUCGAAAUAUAGUCGCGCCUCAUCUGUUGCCAUGUUUCCGUUAUAAAAUUGACUAUGACCCCGUAACGACUGACUCGAAAGAGGAGAUUUAGCUUUUGUAAAAGAAGCUAGAUAACACGCCGAACCCUACAUCAAAAAGUAAAGGAUAUGGCUGAAAGCCUAAAGUCCGACAGUAGGGAAAAGAUAUAGUCUACACCAUACGUAAUUAUGGAUAAAGGUACGAUGUCGGCUCAUCCUAUCCUGGGGCUGAAGCAGGUCCCAAGGGUCUGGCUGUUCGCCAGUUAAAAGGGUACGCGAGCUGGGUUCAGAACGUCGUGAGACAGUAAAAUGACCGUUGCUGUCUUUAAAUCUGGCUAAUUGCUGGAAACUCUGAGAAUCCCAUAUUACUACUUGACGAUUUAGUCUCUAUAUGAUAAUAUAUCGUCGGGAGUGAAAAUAUAUGGGUGCAGACAAUCAGCAGGAAAGGCCAGGUGGGAUAACAUCAUAUAUCUCAGGUUUUGUUGAUGGAGAAGGCUGCUUUUCAGUAACAAUUCAAAAAAGCGGCAAUGUGAAACUAGGGAUUCAGGUAAUCCCGGAAUUUCAUGUUUCACAGCACCAGGACAGGACUGAAGUCCUUGAAGUGAUUAAGAAAAAAUUAGGUUGUGGGUAUAUUAAACCUAAUGAUUAUCAAAAUCUAAAGGAUCAAACUUCAGUUUAUGUGGUGCGAAAUAUCGAUGAUCUCCGUAAUAAAGUCAUACCAUUCUUCAAAAAAUCUCCUCUUAUUUCAAUCAAACAAAAGGAUUUUGAGAAAUUUGCUCGAGUCGUUAGUUUAAUGAAAGAAGGAGGGCAUUUAAAAAAGAAUGGGUUGAUUACGAUAUUAACAAUCGCUUAUUCAAUGAAUUUUAGCGGUAAAUAUCGCAAGCAAAAACUGGAAGAUAUAAUUUCUCACUUGGAAUCUUCAGAGACUGUACGCCAGAAUCCGCAUGACAGGCGGAUAUGAUACAGUCCGAACUGCAUAGCGAUAUGCAGAGAUCAGCAGAAAUGAUUGAUCCUUCGCAAUAAUUUUGCGAAUGUAACAAAAAUUGUCGGUCUCUAUCUGAUGUGGGCGUAGGAUACUUGAAGAGGAGUUCUCUUCAGUACGAGAGGACCUAGAGAAACGAACCUCUGGUGUUCCGGUUGUCCUGCCAAGGGCAAAGGCCGGGUAGCUAUGUUCGGAAGGGAUAAGCGCUGAAAGCAUCUAAGUGCUAAGCCCCCCUCAAGAAUAAGUAUCCCCAUUAGGCUGGUCGUAGACUACGACCUCGAUAGGCGCAAUGUGUAAGGUCCGUAAGGAUUUGAGCUAAUGCGUACUAAUCAGCCGAUUGGCUUGGCCUU
rnacentral:rRNA from 1 species